rnacentral:rRNA from 1 species
UCAAGUGUGGCACGGAUUUACAUUGCACUCAUCCAUGAAUCGAUGAUCUCCAAUGAGAAACCUCCUCCAGUACUUCUUGUAGUACGGUAUGCCUAACUCGAGCCAAGGCUUCAUAUUUCCAUUGUAGUGCAAUGCCGUAGAGCUCCAUGCAACCUCCGGAUUGAUUCCAUAAUCAUAUCCAAGUCCAGACAGAAUCAACCUCCCAUCAAGGGGGUAAAUGAGAUUUUGGAAAGACGACAGGCUUAA